rnacentral:rRNA from 1 species
UACAGAGGGGGCAAGCGUUGUUCGGAAUUACUGGGCGUAAAGGGCGCGUAGGCGGCCUGCUAAGUCGAACGUGAAAUCCCCGGGCUCAACCCGGGAACUGCGUCCGAUACUGGUAGGCUUGAAUUCGGGAGAGGGAUGCGGAAUUCCAGGUGUAGCGGUGAAAUGCGUAGAUAUCUGGAGGAACACCGGUGGCGAAGGCGGCAUCCUGGACCGACAUUGACGCUGAGGCGCGAAAGCCAGGGGAGCAAACAGG